rnacentral:rRNA from 1 species
GUGGGGAAUCUUAGACAAUGGGGGAAACCCUGAUCUAGCCAUGCCGCGUGAUCGAUGAAGGCCUUAGGGUUGUAAAGAUCUUUCAGGUGGGAAGAUAAUGACUGUACCACCAGAAGAAGCCCCGGCUAACUCCGUGCCAGCAGCCGCGGUAAUACGGAGGGGGCUAGCGUUGUUCGGAAUUACUGGGCGUAAAGCGCACGUAGGCGGAUUGGAAAGUUGGGGGUGAAAUCCCGGGGCUCAACCCCGGAACUGCCUUCAAAACUCCCAGUCUUGAGUUCGAUAGAGGUGAGUGGAAUUCCGAGUGUAGAGGUGAAAUUCGUAGAUAUUCGGAGGAACACCAGUGGCGAAGGCGGCUCACUGGCUCGAUACUGACGCUGAGGUGCGAAAGCGUGGGGAGCAAACAGGAUUAGAAACCCUUGUAGUCC